UGGGUUGGUAGACAUAGUCACGUGAUUUGGGCACGGCAGACAUAUUGGUGGUAAAAAUCUGGUUUCUAUGCACAAUCAACAAACGCUUUCCCUUUUAGGCACUUACUGUGACUUACCAUGGAUGAGUCGAACAAAGAAAGAUAUAGUAAGAAAAUUUCAGAAAUAAAUAAUAUUAAUCCUUACACUUUAAAAGCAAGCCUGUGUAAUAAAGAAAACGAUUUGCUGCCCUCCUUGUGACUGUGUUAUCCAGAUCUCUUCACUUAUUAUCGUGUAACGUCUUGUUCUACCUGACUACUGGACUGACUGAAAGUGCCUGGCUUACACAAUCACAAAGGAUGAAUUCAAGGCUUACAAGACUUAAGCAGCCUACAACCAGUUCCUAGAUGGCUGGGUUCAAGAUGUUAUGGCUUAUAAACCACACAACUACCCAAAUACUGUUGUACUAGAAAAGGUUCUUCACUCUCAGCGGUUAGCAGAAAAGGUAUUGCAGCCCUGGAUAGUAAUAAGUCAAGAUGGUAUUAUUCUAUCAGCCCAAUGUUCUUGUAUAGCUGGACUUGGCGAGUCUGCACUCAUGUGGCAGCCACUUUAUUUAUGCUGGAAGCCAACACCAGAGUAAAAGAGAGUAAUAAAGACAGUUACAGGAGUGUCAUCUUACUGGACGAAUCCAUCAAAGCUUAAAAAACUUUUGUCAACUAAGGUUUCUCAGAUUGAUUUCACCUCAUCAAAAACAAAAAAAAAAGUUAAAUUUGAUUCUCUUGUGGACAACAUCGCUUCUAAAAAUAUAAAUUCAAAGGCUAUUAAAUCCAGAGAAACUAUAAAGCUUAGUAUACAUUCUUUUAAUUCAUUUAUUGAAAGUAAUGAGAUAACACCUUGAGGUGUUAUUCCAAUCAGAUAUUUUACUGUGUUGUUGAAAGAAUAAGUUUGUGCCUGUGCUUUAAUGCUGCUAGGUCUCUCAAUGAAAAUU